GACGAACGCUGGCGGCGUGCUUAACACAUGCAAGUCGAACGGGAUUUCGUAGACAGCAGCCUCGUCUAAAGAUUACUAAUGAGAGUGGCGAACGGGUGAGUAACGCGUGAGCCACCUUCCUAUGGCAGUGGGAUAGCCUCUGGAGACCGGGAUUAAUACCUCAUAAAAUCGUAGAAACACAUGUUUUAACGGGCAAAGAUUUAUGGGUCAUAGAUGGGCUCGCGUCUGAUUAGCUAGUUGGUGAGAUAACAGCCCACCAAGGCGACGAUCAGUAGCCGGUCUGAGAGGGUGAACGGCCACAUUGGGACUGAGCCACGACCCAAACUCCUACGGGAGGCAGCAGUUGGGAAUAUUGCACAAUGGGGGAAACCCUGAUGCAGCGACGCCGCGUGAACGAAGAAGGUAUUCGUAUCGUCAAGUUCUGUCCUAUGGGAAGAUAAUGACAGUACCAUAGAAGAAAGCUCCGGCUAAAUACGUG
rnacentral:rRNA from 1 species